rnacentral:rRNA from 1 species
AUAAGUUAUGAUCUUUAAACUCAUAGAAUUUGGCGGUGUCUUAUUCUAUUCAGAGGAACCUAUUCCGUAAUUGAUAAUACACGAUUAACUUUACUUAAUUUAUUUGUUUGUAUAUCUCCGUUAUCAGAAAAUCUUUCUAGAGUUUUAAUUUUCAGAAUUUAUACUUUUGAAUUAUUUCAGGUCAAGGUGCAGCUAAUAAUUAAGGUGAGAAUGGGUUACAAUAUAAUUAUAUAUAAUGGAUUUAAUUUUGAAACAUUAUUAAUGAAGGUGGAUUUGAUAGUAAUUUAAUUAAUUUAAUUUAUUUGAUUAUAGCUCUAAGAUGUGCACACAU